UCACUAAUCAAGCCUGGCUUGCUGUUGGACUUUUUGCCGUCAAUAGGCAGGUCUUAAAGAUAAUGGCGGUGUCAUUUAGACCCUAGAUGCAACGAGCUUUAACUAGCACGCAUUUUUAGUCGGCCUUUUUGACCCGGUCUUUUUAACCAAUUUUUUAAAAGGUUGACCUCGGAUCAGGUAGGAAUACCCGCUGAACUUAA
rnacentral:misc_RNA from 1 species